rnacentral:tRNA from 1 species
GGCGGGUGCACUUGUAUGUCACGUAUCCGUCACAACACUAUCAUAAGUUAUUGAUAAUACUUGCUAUUCGUUGGGCUCAUAACCCAAAGGUCGUAGGUUCGAAUCCUUCCCCCGCUACCA